rnacentral:rRNA from 1 species
UAGUACGAGAGGACCGGGAUGGACAUACCUCUGGUGUACCAGUUGUCGUGCCAACGGCAUAGCUGGGUAGCUAUGUGUGGACGGGAUAAGUGCUGAAAGCAUCUAAGCAUGAAGCCCCCCUCAAGAUGAGAUUUCCCAACUUCGGUUAUAAGAUCCCUCAAAGAUGAUGAGGUUAAUAGGUUCGAGGUGGAAGCAUGGUGACAUGUGGAGCUGACGAAUACUAAUCGAUCGAAGACUUAAUCAAAA